rnacentral:rRNA from 1 species
AAUAAGGGGGUGGNANCCCUUUCAAAGGGGGGCCCCGGCCGCGAAGAUUUCGAGCGGCCGCCCGGGCAGGUACCUUUUGUAUAAUGGGUCAGCAAGUUAAUAAGGAUAGUUUGCUUAACUUUGGUGAUAAAAGGGAGGCGUAGCGAAAGCGAGUUUUAAAAAAGCGAAAAUUGGAUCUUUCUUAUUAAACCCGAAGCCAAGUGAUCUAACCAUGAUCAAGUUGAUAUUACUGUGAUAGGUAAUUGAGGACUGAACCCGUAUAUGUGGCAAAAUAUUGGGAUGAAUUGUGGUUUGGAGUGAAAGGCUAAUCAAACUUGGCAAUAGCUGGUUUUCUGCGAAAUCUAUUUAGGUAGAGUGUUAUAUAGUUUAUUUUACGGGUAGAGCUCUAGUUAUUUGAUGGGAGUGUAGCAGCUUUACUGAGAAUAAUUAAACUUCGAAUAGUAAAUUUUAAGUUAUAAUAAACAGACUUUUGGCGAUAAGGUCGAAGGUCAAGAGGGAAACAGCCCAGAUUACAUGAUAAGGUCUUAAAAUAAUUUUUUGAGUGAAAAAGGAAAAUUU